rnacentral:rRNA from 1 species
GGGNNCUGCGUUAUUUAGUUGUUGCAGUUAAAAGCUCGUAGUUGGAUCUCGGGGCCAGGGCUUGCGGUACGCCUUGCGGCGGUUACUGCUCGUCCUGACCUACCUGCCGGCGUGUCCCUUGGUGCUCUUGAUUGAGUGUUUUGGGCGGCCGGAAUCUUUACUUUGAAAAAAUUAGAGUGCUUAAAGCAGGCGUUUCGCCCGGAUAAUGGUGCAUGGAAUAAUAGAAUAGGACCCCGGUUCUAUUUUGUUGGUUUUCGGAACCUGAGGUAAUGAUUAAGAGGGACUGACGGGGGCAUUCGUAUUGCGGGGUUAGAGGUGAAAUUCUUGGAUCCUCGCAAGACGAACUACAGCGAAAGCAUUUGCCAAGCAUGUUUUCAUUAGUCAAGAACGAAAGUCAGAGGUUCGAAG